CAAGAACCAUAGAGAUAGAAAGAAGAGUAAGUAAAACUCCAAUUAGACCAUGGCUGCAGCAUGCUUGUGAGAUAGAAAAUACUAAAAAUUCAAUUUUAUGUAAGUUAGUAACUAGUGGAUUGCUUCUGGAGCUCAUGCCAGAGCUGGGAGUCACAUGAGAGUUCAUGGAAGAAAGAUAUCUGUGGUAGAGUCCUGGAUGUGACAGAACACAGAUGGCACCAACGAGUUUCACAGCCAGAAAGAGAAGGUCCCGCUUGAGUGAGGACAGAUGCAAAGACUGGAGAUCAGAGCUCUUGAAGAGAUCAUGUGAGUACACAGUGAGAUGGCAGCCACCCAUGAGGCAAGAGAAGAGGCUGCAGACUGAAACCUACCUUGUACUGCCUUGAGCUUGGACUUUCUAGCCUCUAGAACUGAAAGAAAUAAAC
rnacentral:lncRNA from 1 species